GACGAACGCUGGCGGCGUGCUUAACACAUGCAAGUCGAGCGGUAAGGCCCUUCGGGGUACACGAGCGGCGAACGGGUGAGUAACACGUGGGUGACCUGCCCUCAGCUCUGGGAUAAGCCCGGGAAACUGGGUCUAAUACCGGAUAGGACCGCUUGCCGCAUGGUGGGUGGUGGAAAGCCAGUUACAUUGUUUCUGGCGGCUGGGGAUGGGCCCGCGGCCUAUCAGCUUGUUGGUGGGGUGAUGGCCUACCAAGGCGGCGACGGGUAGCCGGCCUGAGAGGGCGACCGGCCACACUGGGACUGAGACACGGCCCAGACUCCUACGGGAGGCAGCAGUGGGGAAUAUUGCGCAAUGGGCGGAAGCCUGACGCAGCGACGCCGCGUGGGGGAUGACGGCCU
rnacentral:rRNA from 1 species